AAUUCUAAUAGCAUAAAGCAUUUUUUUUUCCCCUGGGAUGUUAUCGUCCCUAAGUUUUACAUGUUUUAAACUAAGCUGUAAAUUUAGCUUGAACAAUUUUAAUAACAUUUCCAAAGAUGUAUCUUAAAAAGGAAUUUAAAAGAAAUACUGAGCUUUUGAAGUCAAACACAACCCCCUUUCUUACAAAAGCAGUCAACUUACUUUAACUGAACAUUUCUUUGUCCUGAAGUUAGAAAUAACUUCAGCAAAAAUUUCUCCACAGGGUUGAUAUUUUAAUGAUGGGAACCUUAGGUUAAUAUGUUCAUUUUAUACUAGUCGUUUAUAGUCAUUUGUGAAUGGAAUGGUGAUUGACAAAUACAUUUGCUUUAAUGUGGAGCUGGACUAUAAUAUAUAUGGAUCAACUUCAGGUGUUCAUGUCUGUCUGUUCUCCAUGUCGAGUACGAUUGUACCUUCUCUUCCCUCCUGCACUGCUUUUUGUCGUGGAUGACCAGGCUGUGAGUUCUUCCAGAUCAAAGAUCAUAUCAUGUUGUGUCUGUAGCCCCAGCAUGUAGAGCAAUGCUAGGCAGCAGUAUGUGGUUAAUAAAUGUUGGUUGAAUGAAUACAUGAUUGACUGAAUGCAUGUAUGUCUAACAGUGUUUGCAACUGACAGCCUUUUUGAAAAAAUUAUUUUGAAUAGUUAUAAGUUCACAGGAAUUCCCCCUCCCAUUCCUCAGACACAGGAGAUUCCUUGUCUCCUCCCUACCAGUUUUCCCCACUGGUAGCAUCUUACAUGACGUAAUACAGUGCCAAAACUAAGAAAUUGACAUUGGUAUAAUCCACAGAUCUUCUUCAGGAUCACUGACUUUACAUGCACUCAUUUGUGUGUCCUUUGUAUCAGUUCUAGGCAGUUUUAUCACAUGUAUUGAUUUGCAUGGCUACCACCAGAAUCAAGAUAACAGAUCUUGUGUAUGUGGGGUUCCAUGCCCACAAGGCUUCCUGUGCUACUGUUUUGUAGCUAACCCUGACCCCUCAUAACAGGAUUUUAAUCAUCCUGACCUUGUGCUUUACAUUAGCUUCUGCAUUAACUAUGGCAUGAAGAACUAUAAGAUGUUUCUGUUAUUAAGAGACAGCAGCAGUGAUUUUAUCUGUAUUCAUUGCCCAGUCCACAGAUCAUCCCUCAUCCAUGAUCAGUUUACACAUUUUCUGUUUAAAAAAAUUAUCUUAAAGUUGGCUUUCCUAGAGUAAUGAAUUGUCAACAUUAUCAUAAUGGGAGUCCACUCCUAUUAAUCAGAACUUAGAGACCACAUGUUGUGUUCAUUAUCCAGAAAAUGUAUCAAGUUGCAAAACUUAAGUAGAAUGCUAAAAAUUGGGAUCCACAGUAUUAAUGAGCUAAAAAUUGACAAGUGCAUCUUAGAAAAUGCUUCUGUGAGCAAAAAAAAUUUGCAGGCUCAUACGCAAUGAAUUGGAGUGUUCAACACGGUUUAAUUGGCGGCUGUGGAUGUCUUGUGCAUAAUUGAGGUUGUAAAGAUGGAUGCAUGUGGUAGGCAUGGGGGGUCUAAAUGGGUGAGUGUGUAUUGUAAGGGAAUCCGUCCCUUCCGACAUACUGCAGGCUGGGUUGCAGAUACAGUGAUCCAUGUUUAUGUAAGCAAGGUGGAAACUUCUGAUCUAGAAGGGAAAAAACAGGUGCUUUUGUAUGUUUUUCUUUCAGGAAAUAGUUCACAUUUUCCAGAAAGAAAAGUUUUUUUUUUUUUUUUUUUGGAGACGGAGUCUUGCUCUGUUGCCUUGGCUGGAGUGCAAUGGCGUGAUCUCGGCUCACUGCAACCUCCGCCUCCCAGGUUCAAGCAGUUCUCUGCCUCAGCCUCCCGAAUAGCUGAGAUUACAGGCGCCCACCACCAUGCCUGGCUAAUUUUUUUAUUUUCAGUAGAGACGGGGUUUCACCAUCUUGGCCAGGCUGGUCUUGAACUCCUGACCUCGUGAUCCACCUGCCUCGGCCUCCCAAAGUGCUGGGAUUACAGGCGUGAGCCACGGCUCCUGGCCC
rnacentral:lncRNA from 1 species